GUUGGAAGUGAAAGUGAAAGAACU
rnacentral:piRNA from 1 species